rnacentral:tRNA from 1 species
CACCUAGAAAAGAAAAUUUCUAAUUUUCUUUGACUAAAGUCUCUGGUGU